rnacentral:rRNA from 1 species
CCUACGGGUGGCUGCAGUCGAGAAUCUUCGGCAAUGGACGCAAGUCUGACCGAGCGACGCCGCGUGCGGGAUGAAGGUCUUCGGAUUGUAAACCGCUGUCAGAGGGGAUGAAGUGUACGGGGGUUCUCCCCUGUAUUUGACAGAGCCUCAGAGGAAGCACGGGCUAAGUUCGUGCCAGCAGCCGCGGUAAUACGAACUGUGCGAACGUUAUUCGGAAUCACUGGGCUUAAAGGGUGCGUAGGCGGUUUCUUAAGUCAGGUGUGAAAUCUUUCGGCUCAACCGGAAAACUGCGCUUGAUACUGAGAGACUUGAGUGAGGUAGGGGUGUGUGGAACUUCCGGUGGAGCGGUGAAAUGUGUAGAUAUCGGAAGGAACGCCAGCAGCGAAAGCGGCACACUGGGCCUUUUCUGACGCUGAGGCACGAAAGCCAGGGGAGCGAACGGGAUUAGAUACCCCAGUAGUC